rnacentral:rRNA from 1 species
UUUUCCUACGGGAGGCAGCAGUCGGGAAUAUUGCGCAAUGGAGGAAACUCUGACGCAGUGACGCCGCGUGCAGGAAGAAGGUUUUCGGAUUGUAAACUGCUUUAGACAGGGAAGAAAAAAGACAGUACCUGUAGAAUAAGCUCCGGCUAACUACGUGCCAGCAGCCGCGGUAAUACGUAGGGAGCAAGCGUUAUCCGGAAUUAUUGGGUGUAAAGGGUGCGUAGACGGGACAGCAAGUUAGUUGUGAAAGCCCUCGGCUUAACUGAGGAACUGCAACUAAAACUAUUGUUCUUGAGUGCAGGAGG